rnacentral:rRNA from 1 species
AGUGAACGCUGGCGGUAUGCCUAACACAUGCAAGUCGAACGGCAGCACAGUAAGAUCUUGCUCUUACGGGUUGCGAGUGGCGUACGUGUGAGGAAUACAUCGGAAUCUACUUUUUCGUGGGGGAUAACGUAGGUAAACUUACUCUAAUACCGCAUACCACCUACGGUUGAAAGCAUGGGAUCUUCUGACCUUGCGCGAUUGAAUUAGCCGAUGUCGGAUUAGCUAGUUGGCGGGGUAAAGGCCCACCAAGUGGACGAUCCGUAGCUGGUCUGAGAGAAGGGUAGGCCACAUUGGAGCGGGACCAGGGACAAGGCUACUAAGAGAGGGAGCAGUGGGGAAUAUUGGACAAUGGGCGGAAGCAUGAUACAGCGAGACUGAGUGGGAGAAGGAGGCGUUGGGGUUGUGAAGACCGUUUGUUGGGAAAGAAAAGCAGCAGGUUAAUACCAAGCUGUUCUGACGGUAACCAAAGAAUAAGCACCGGCUAACUUCGUG